rnacentral:rRNA from 2 species
CAGGGAUUGCCCUAGUAACGGCGAGUGAAGCGGCAACAGCUCAAAUUUGAAAUCUGGCCUCGGCCCGAGUUGUAAUUUGCAGAGGAUGCUUCUGGCGCGGUGCCUUCCGAGUUCCCUGGAACGGGACGCCACAGAGGGUGAGAGCCCCGUAUGGUCGGACACCAAGCCUGUGUGAAGCUCCUUCGACGAGUCGAGUAGUUUGGGAAUGCUGCUCUAAAUGGGAGGUAAAUCUCUUCUAAAGCUAAAUACCGGCCAGAGACCGAUAGCGCACAAGUAGAGUGAUCGAAAGAUGAAAAGCACCUUGAAAAGGGGGUUAAAUAGUACGUGAAAUUGUUGAAAGGGAAGCACUUAUGACCAGACUUGGGCCGGGCGGCUCAUCAGGGGUUCUCCCCUGUGCACUCCGCCCGGCACAGGCCAGCAUCGGUUCUCGUGGGGGGAUAAGACCGUCAGGAACGUAGCACCCUCCGGGGUGUGUUAUAGCCUGGCGGACGAUACCCCCGUGGGGACCGAGGUCCGCGCUCCGCAAGGAUGCUGGCGUAAUGGUCAUCAGUGACCCGUCUUGAAACACGGACCAAGGAGUCGUCCAUUAGAGCGAGCGUUUGGGUGUAAAACCCGCACGCGUAAUGAAAGUGAACGCAGGUGAGAGCUUCGGCGCAUCAUCGACCGAUCCUGAUGUUCUCGGAAGGAUUUGAGUAAGAGUUUUAACGGACGGACCCGAAAGACAGUGAACUAUGCUUGUAUAGGGUGAAGCCAGAGGAAACUCUGGUGGAGGCUCGCAGCGGUUCUGACGUGCAAAUCGAUCGUCAAAUAUGAGCAUGGGGGCGAAAGACUAAU